GUGCCUGUAGCUCAACUGGAUAGAGCGUUAGCCUCCGGAGCUAAAGGUUGGGCGUUCGAGUCGCCCCAGGCACGCCA
rnacentral:tRNA from 1 species